GAUGAACGCUGGCGGCGUGCCUAAUACAUGCAAGUCGAACGAGGUGCUUUUGUAGCAAUACGAGAGUAUCCUAGUGGCGAACGGGUGAGUAACGCGUGGAUGACCUGCCCCAAAGUGUGGGAUAACAGUCCGAAAGGAUUGCUAAUACCUCAUGUGGUUAUCGGUUUUAGAAAGCGAUAACUAAAGCAGCAAUGCGCUUUGGGAGGGAUCUGCGUCCCAUCAGCUAGUUGGUGAGGUAACGGCUCACCAAGGCGACGACGGGUAGGGGACCUGAGAGGGUGGCCCCCCACAAUGGAACUGAAACACGGUCCAUACACCUACGGGUGGCAGCAGUAGGGAAUAUUGCUCAAUGGGCGAAAGCCUGAAGCAGCAACGCCGCGUGUGCGAUGAAGGCCUUGGGUCGUAAAGCACUUUCUAAGAGAUGAGAAAGGACAGUAUCUUAGGAAUAAGUCUCGGCUAACUACGUGCCAGCAGCCGCGGUAAUGU
rnacentral:rRNA from 1 species